AGCAUGGAAACUUAAAAGAGUUGCCAUUUCUUAACAAAUUUAGAUUGCUUACAAAGCACUAGGGAAUUUCCUGGGGUUAAUUAUACAUCCUACACAACUUGGCUACACCGUUUUAGGCUUGACUCUUGGAUCUGUGUAUACAUUAAUAGUUUACGUGGUUAAUAUUUGAUCAUUUUUAGGAUAAAGACAAUACAGGUGGCUUAGUUGUGGAUAAAGUAAACUUGUAAAGAUAUUUAAAAUGCAGUAAGUUUUGAAAAUAAGUAAAUAAGAUCCAAGUAGAAGGUAUUGAAGUUUAUGGUCAGUGGUCUUCCAACCUCUCAGGUGCCUUAAUAGUUUAGGACAACAAGUAACAAAGAUAGUUGGAAUGUGGGAACAUGUCAGCUAGCCUGCACCAUCCAGGAGGCAGUGAGUAACAUCAUGCCUUUACUGGGUUUCUAACAUAGCAGUGUUUGUAUAAUUCUGGAACAUGUACUCAUAUGUUCUGUAAAUAAUAUGAAACUAUAUUUUUUCAAAGGUUUUUUAAAUUUGGGAGAAUCUUCUUUUGUAAGAUAUUAAAGGAAUAAAAGAGCUGGAAAAAAAAUAGUCACAGAAUUUGGGCAGUCAAGGAACACAAGAUGGGUCAAGCAAUUAUUUUCUGUGGAACCCAAAUCGACUGUAAUAACUUGGAGCAGUAUUUUAUGCAACAAGGAGGAGGACCUGAUAAAAAGGACACCAGUUCUAAUGUGUUUCUCUUCAUGGUGACGGAAAGACUCAUGAAAGGAAGCAAAAUUUGGAAAGAUUUACGAAAGGAGAUCUAAGACUCUUGAUUUGCACGGACGUAGCCGCCAGAGGAAUUGAUAUCUGUGGUGUUCCUUAUGUUAUAAAUGUCACCUUGCCUGAUGAAAAGCAAAACUAUGUACAUCGAAUUGGCAGAGUGGGAGGAGCUGAAAGGAUGGGUCUGGCCAUUUCCCUGGUGGCAACAGAAAAAGAAAAGGGUUGGUACCGUAUAUGUAGCAGCCAUGGAAAGGCUGUUAUAACACAAGACUUCAGGAAGAUGGUGGCUGUACCAUAUGGUACAGUGAGAUGCAGUUGCUGUCUGAGAUGGAAGAACACCUGAACUGUACCAUUUCUCAGGUUGAGCCAGAUAUAAAGGUACCAGUGGAUGAAUUUGAUGGAAAAGUUACCUGUGGGCAAAAAAGGGCUGCUGGUGGUGGAAACUAUAAAGGCCAUGUGGAUAUUUUGGCACCUACAGUUCAAGAAUUGGCUGCCCUUGAAAAGGAGGCGCAGACAUCUUUCCUGUAUCUUGGCUACCUUCCUAACCAGCUGUUCAGAACCUUCUGAUUCUAACAUACACUGACAGUUUGUGUUGACAAGUUGGCACUAAAGAGGGAGGAAAUAACAGAAGAGGAGCUCCAUCUCAACAGAAAGAAGUAGAAGGUUCAGCCCUCCAGUCACAUCAGUGUGAAGAGGAGAGGGCAAGAAGAACACAGUCAAACAAGUGUUUUUUACUUCAGCUCCCUGCAAAAUUCUGAGAAGAAAUGUGUCAGUUAGGAUCCAGCAGAGACAGAAACCACACCAAUGAUUUGAACAAAGAAAACUUAACAUAAAUAAUUAACUAACAAAAGUUGUUAACUGCAAAGAGGCUUUUCCAACUGUGUGUCUUAAAUUCUGUAUUUGCUUAUACGGUACUCAUUAAUUACAGGGCUAACUAACACACUGGUAAAGUUGUUUACAUCCCCGCCCCACCCACAAUCCCAAAGCAUGUGCUCUGAAUCACCUCCUUUUCCAGCUCUCACACACCACAUGCCAGUACCUCACUGCCCUAAACCACCCAGGGCCAAGCACCGCACAGCUAGAGCUGAGGGUGAACAGGUAAGGAAGGAACUAAGAACUUAGAGGAGCUUCUCCUCCCCCGCAAAGAUGAGAUGCAGACCUCUUCAGAGACGGCAAAGUGCCACAGGAGCACACAGCCUGCUGAUGGACACUUGCCAGAGAGAAAUCCAGAGACGGUCCACGAACGUGCCUGCCACAUGGUGGAGAAACUUGUUGGAGAGUGUGAAUGGGAUGGAGUUGGUCCACAGCACGGCCUGCCGGGUGGUUUGUGAGGGCCGCUGAGUGUUACUGGGCAUCCUGCACAUGGUCCACCGAACACCCCACCCCCAAGAAUCAGUGCACGCUGGAAAUAGGAGGGGAAGCCCCUCCUCCCACUAUGGCCUUGACGUGUCCCUUUAACACCCUCCACUGACAAAGCCUAACAUUAAGCCAGCUGGCAAAGGAGAACUGUUUACAGAGUCCAGAUCCCACAUCACAAAGCAGUGCAAAGAAGAAUGGAUUCAGAGAUGAGAGGCAAUAAGCUGGUAACUGGCACAGAUAGUGAGGGGAAGGGAUGGCAGACUGGUAGUUAGACUGAGGGUGAAAUAACGGGCUUGUGCCCCACUUCCUAACCAAAACUCCCCCUCAAUACUAACAUAGGUGGCCACAGACUUAAAAAUGGUGGCGUACCAUGGUGACACAAGGCAGAGAGAGGAUCUGAGUGGUAGCACUCUGUGCCUCCCUUAGCUUCUGCGUGGUAAGAAAAGAACUCUGAAGUUCUCCACCCCACGGAAAGAAACCAAGUCAAGAGCCAUGACAUCUGCCACGGGGUGAAUAACUGAAGGGCAGACCAAGACAGUGCCCUGGACCUGAUGGAGACAAAGGGGUGGUUAUUUCCAACUUUGCAGGAGUCUUUGGAUUCAUAAGGAACUUCACAGGCCAUCUAGUUCAACCUAAAUUCUUUGAAUGGUUCGUGUGUAAAAUGUUACUGAGACUUGGGGUAUUUUGCAAAUGGACUGCAUGUUAAAUAAUGCUAUUGCACUAAGGUUGACCUGAUGUGUGUGAAAGGUGCUGUGGUGAUAUAAGAGAAUGUCCUUGUUCUUGGCUACCAUGAAUCUAGACAUACUGAGAGGGUGAAGCAAGUGUUAAGAGUUGGUAAAUCUAGGUGAGGGAUAUACUGGUGGUCCUUAGCACGAUGUUUCAGCUUUUUAUAGGUUUUAAAUUUUUCAUUAUAAAAACAUUAAUAAAAUAAAAUAAUAACCAAUGCCCUUGACAAGUAUAAUCUAUCCUUCUCAAUAUCCUUAGGGGAGGAAAUUCCACAAAUCCCCAGGAAACCAGCACAGCACCAUAGUAAGGGGUGUGAGCAGCACCGCGGCAGCCCAUAGUCACCUCAGGUGCUGUGCGGGCGCCGCAUUCAGACUUAGCAAAUUCUCUCUCCACGGGCCUCAGCAAUGCUAGGGGGUGGGUGGGUAUGACCACCGCCAUAUUUCACAGGCGUGGGAGCCAGAGCUUUAGUGGGGUAACCCAGUAACUGAGUGAUCCCCCUCGAGUCAGGGUAGGCCCAGGACCUACACCUGGGUGGGCGAACUCUGGAGCCCACACUAUUCAUACUACUAACCUCGUCAAACUUGGUCAGUGCUCAGUGUUGGAAUUCACUCGGAAAUCACAGCCAGCAUUUUUAAAAAAUUAAGCAAAAUAGAAAAUACCACUAUGCUCCACAAUAAGGGCAGGUAUUAAUGAAAUCACAGACUUUCUUCAUACACACACACACACACACACACACACACACACACACACACACACACACACACAGUCAUAGUAGAGUGUGCAUUCCUCAUGCAGGUCUUUUAUUCUAUAUUGUCUCCUCCUCCUCUUUCAUUUCCUGCUCAGAAGCUUGUUUAGGAGACCAGAGGAAAAAAAGGAAUACAGAUUCGGGUGGCUAAGUGAAAAAUUCCACUGGGAAUUUUCUAAUCUCAAAAUAAGCCAAAAUAAUAUACUUUCAGUACACACUCAUAGAUAAUGAUGCAGCUGGCAAAUCUGCUAGUAUAAUAAAAGAUACCUCCAAGUAGGAAUUUGGAUAAUCCCCUUGAUAUUUGUUAGAGGAUAUUAUCUGUAAUUCUAUUAAAAGAUAUCAAUUUAAAAUUCAUGCUGAAAUAAUAUAUAUAAAUAUGGCCAAUGGUUAAAAUUAAAUGCGAAGAUUCUUCUCUGGUCUUUCUUCUCCACUGAAAAUCCCAGUGCAUGUCAACAUAAAGGAAGGAAGCUGAGUGGUGGAGAAUUAUUUCAGCAGACUCCCCCCAAACAAGCACCUAACUGUGUAUCCUAUUUUUAUAAGUUAAGCAGGAAAAAUGAAGGAGAAAAUCAUUCCACAAGUGUUUAAGGUCCGCCAUUAAAGGAGGGUUUUCUGUGAAUUAAUCUUACCAAAUGAAGUCAUAGGAAGAAAGUACUAUGUCUUUAAAUCUACAGCUAUUUUUCAUUCCAAGUUUCUGUUUAAGGCCAUUACUGCUCCCUGGGGACUGCGUUGACUCACUGCAUCUUCAGAAUGACGCAAGUGAGCUUCUCUGCACAACUUCAAAACAGACUGUGAAUAUACCCAGGCAAAGGCUGCCUUUGGAGCCAGCAGACCAGUCAGGCACCACUGGCAAAAUUGCCAGGUGCAAGCAGGUGAUGAGGACGCCAUUCUCCUCAUCCUCAGCUUCAUCAUGCGCUGGUCACUUUCUUCAACUGGUAAAAUAACUAGACCAUUUUUUCUAAAUCCUUCCUUAAUUUGCCCAUCCUAUUUGGGAUCUCAUAUCCACUUUCACUGCCCACUUGGAGGCCAAUCUACUUUCCUGGACUUGGUCAUAUGGUAAGAAGAGAAUGGAAACAAGAAAACUAGCUCAGAUUUCUCCAGUGGUAGGUAUCCCACACACCUUGAGUUCCUUCCUUUAAUCAUUUUAUCUAAAAAAAAAUAUCAUGGGGAGUGGGAAAGCAACUUUAAUGAUCCAUGCUCUCCUACCCUACCCCAUUUUUAGAAAUAACUGACAGUUGGCUGUAACACUAUUUCUUCAGUCUUAGUAGAGACAACACCGAACGGCUCAUUUCACCCCCCAAAAUCAGUCCUAUCUGCACCCUCCAAAGACAGUGAGCAUAAGUGGAUAACUGACAAGACUAGCAAAGACAGACCAUCCACCUGACCACUCAGAAUGAACAGCAUCAGCCCUUGGCAUGUGCCAGGCUCCUGCAGGUGCUGGAGACAGAGCAGACUGACCAAGCCAGUCAGAGCCCUUCCCUGCAUGGAGCUUACCAUCUAGUGAAGGAGGGAGGCUUUAAACAAUUGCCACACUAAUAGGGUUCAUUGUAAGUAUGGAAACUGCCAACAAGGACUAACACAGGUGCUAGAGAAUCUGACUGAGGCUAGAAAGGUCUCUGUGAAUGUGAUAGGUACGAUGAGACUGGAGGAUGAGGUGGUGUUAGCCAGGGAGAGGACAGUCUGAGAUAUGAAAGCGGAGGGAACAAUUCAUUCAGAAAUAGUGGGUACAAAGACUGUAAGGCAAGGAAGGACCUGAUACAAGUAACAAUAUGAGGUGAGCAGAAUCCAGAAACUGAAGCUGAAAGAGGUUUCCUUUGGGACUGGUCAGACGGAGACAGCCCUAAGAUCAAGAGCAACAGGAUGAAGGCAAACAAGGCUACAUCUGCCUGGCUGUAACCAGAUAGCUUCAGCAUUACCUGGUUCACCAUAUUUCCAAAAGGCCCUACAGCUUCCCUCCUAAAACGGACAGCCAAAAACCAGAUGAGCCAACAUAAAAUGUGUUUACUUUUUUAAAAAGUAGUUUACAUUUGGGGCUGCUCAUUUUCACACACUGUUCUUUUUGAGAACACUCAAAUUAUAAAAGGCAUCUGUGGUGUCAGAAAGCAGAGUGGGCUCUAAUAAUACAAUGGCCGAACAUCUGUAUAUAAUAAAACUUCUAGUAAUCAAACUCAAGGUCAGGAUUUGUCAGUAGUACCUCUGAAGAUCAAAUGCAAUUUCACCAUAUUUCUAUUUUAUCCUUACCAAGGCAUGAGCCACCUAAAAGCACCAAGAUAUGACAUUGUUUUAAACCCCCCAGUAACUUCCCACAGACCAGAUGACAUAUGUGGUGUAUAUAUUGUUGUUUUUCUUCUAGUGGCCAUGUUUGCUUCCUCAAGGCAUUUCACUAUCAAAUGCACCACUUCAAACCUAUUUCUCUCUAUAAACGUCUGAGCUCCCCCUCCACAAACAUAAAGGGUUUAACAGUCCUUUCAUGACUUACCACUGGGGACUAGAGUCUUUGCUCUGUCUCAGGACUUUACAGACUGCAUUUAGAGGUGAAAUCAUACUGCACUGUGCCAUAAACCAGCAGGCUCUAUAAUAAAGUAAAGCUGGCGAAGGGCAGAAAAGAGGCAAAGAAGAAUGGAAUUUUUAUAGUAAACAACUUUGCCAUUUUGAGUAAUGACUAUUACUAAAAUGUGCUCCUGCUUUUCCAGUAUCUCUCCUUCUCCAUCUGUUGAUCUUCGUUGCCAUAACCACCACUUGCAUCAUCCAACAAACGGCAGGCCCCUCUCCAUGCUGUUACUGCUCCUCCAUCACUCCAGAUCUCGCUCCAGAUGGGCUUUCACUCACCUGACAGCUGCUUAGGCCAACAGCUGUUAUCAUGUCACACAGGGGGGCUGUUUUGUGAACAAGUAACUAGAAAUUAAUCCUUAGAUUUUAAAAAAAAGUCAUAGUUCUCAACAAUAUAUAUUUAAAUCCUACUUAAUCAUAAUUCUCAAUUAACUAGAAAGUUUUCUCUUCCCUAUUUACCACAAACUUUUUUUUUUUUAAUUUUCAAGGACAAAAUAUAUAUUUGGCUUAAUGGCCUCUUAAUUACUCUCUAUCAGCAGUAACCCAUAAUCGUCAAAGGUGUUAAAAUAAUGACUCUGAGUCUCUGGGGCAAGAGCCCAGAAACGUGGACUGCGCACAUGGGCAGAUAUUUCCUCUCCUGCCAGUGACCCCGUAAAGUUAUAACGAAGUUAUUUAAAAAUCUAAAUCCACAAUGACGAGGACAGAAUGGGAGUUGUCAUCAUAUGAGAAUUGCAACACAUCUUUGGAAUCUGGAAAUGGAUGGUCAUUUACAUCACGAGGCAGAGCCGAGCCAAGGAAAUCACAGUCGAGGAGAGUCCUGAAAGAGCAGGUGACAGAGGGGGCCUGUCUGCCAGGAAGAACCCAGGAUAUGAAGAUGCAAGUGGAAUGGAGAGUGGGAAUGAGACAUGGGGGGGGACCAAGGAUUGUCAGUCUGUAUAUGCAACAGGAGACAAUCAAAACACAACCUGGGCCACUCCCCCCACUCGCAGACACCCACCUCCUGUAAGGCAGGGGACCCCUCUAAGGAAGAUAAAGGGCAGUCCGGAGAGUACUUCAUGUGGCGUGUCAGCGGCCCAGUGGAAGUAAGCCCUUCAGGAGGGUUUCUUGAUUGCCCUACUCAUCAGUCCAGAAAUACAACCAACCAAUUUAUAAUCCCACCCACGCAUGGAGAACUCCCAUCAACCUUCCAAUUCCCACUUUCUUCAGUACAAAUGGACAAUCUGAUCACCAUACUUUCGAGAAAAGCCUAGAGCAUCACAGAAAAAGACAAGACAGACAGAUUAACCCUGAAGGAAAUAGAUAAUUCAGGAAACUGGAGAAAAUUUUUAAAAACAACAAAAACAAAAAAAGCCAUGUUAAUUCAUACCCUCAGAGAGACUCAUAAAAAUUACAUGCUCAGAAAGCAAGAAUGUGAUGGUUUGAAAGAUUUUUAAAAUAAGAGAACUCAGUUAAAAAUAUGACUGCCAAAUAAAAAAAUUAAUUAAAAAAUGAAUGAAAAAUAGUCAAGGAAAUCUCUUAAAACCUAGAAAAAAGACAAAGACCCAGGAAGGCAACUAUUAUAUUAAUACAAACAAAGAGCCCCUUCUAAGAACGAGACCCAGUUUCACUGCUUCUGCAGCUGUCUGCCAGGUCCUGUAACUGCCCAGCCCCUGCAGGGCUUUCUCCACUUACCAGCCUGGCCUCCAAAGUGCAGCCUCUGAAGACCUCACGAAAUCAAUUACCACAACUUCUUAACUAAGGUUACCUGAAAGCUUACUUAACUCAAACUUCACAGAAGACACCUAGACCGGCCUAACAGAGUAAAACCAGGACUCUUAAGUUUGAGCUCCUUUGUCUCAGCAUAGCCAUACCUUCCUGGUCUAGCCUUCUGUGCAUCACACAGACCUUCUCUUACAUUGCAGACAUCCUCCCUCUCGGAGUCAUCUUCCCCUUUUUUAAAGUAUAAAAGUUCCUUUGUCUGUUGGAGGUAAAACUCAGUUUUUGUGUAUCUGAAAAUGUUAUUAUUCCCUCAUUACUAAAUUAUAUUUUAACUGAGUUUAAAAUUCUAGGUUGGUAAUCAUUUUCUCUCAGCGAUUUAAGGUAUGAUUCCACUGUCUUGUGGUUUCCAGUGUUGCUGCGGAGAAGUGACGCUUCCAGUCUAAUAGCGUUCCUUGAAGGCAAUCCGUUUCUAUCUGAUUGAUUUUAAGAUCUUUUUGUCUUUGGUGUUUAUUAUACUAUUAUACUCCAAUUCGCUGGAUAAGCCUUUAAGAAAGAAAAAUUCUACUUGGGGUUUGCUCUGAUUCCUAAAUCUAAAAAUUCAUGUUUUUCAAUAUUUUUGGAAAUUUUUAGCAUUACUUCCUCAAAUAUUGCUUCUUCAUAUAGAUAUUUUAGAUCGUCUCAUGCUGUUCCAUUUCUUUAGAUUUAGUUUCCCUAUUCUUCAUCUUUACCUUCCUGUGCUGAAAUCUGUGUAAUUUCUUCAGCUUUAUCCCCCAAUUUACUAAAUCUGUCUUCAACUAUGUCUACCUUGUUUUUAAACCUGUCCAUUGAGAUUUCACUGAUUAUAUAUUUCAGUACUUUUCCAAUUCUGAUCCUUUCUUCAUAAGGUUUUUAGUCUUGUUUUCUAUUCUAAUAUCUAAAGCUCCAUAUAGUUCUGCUGCUCUUUUAUCCUGCUCUCUUGUUCAUGGUUAUUUGUUUCCUUAUGUUUUUAAGUUUUGGAUUCUCAUCUCAUGUCUGGAGAGGUUUUUUUUUUUUUUUCUUUUUUUAGGAGAGCAAGGUACAGGCUUUUAUUUAGAGAUAAAGUGAAAAGACAGAGCUCCCAGUUCACGCCAGGAGGGGACAAGAGAGUCCCUCUGGAGAGGUUUUAUCUGUGGGAAUCCUGAGCUAUGGCUGUGAUGAAGGUAGGUUUAUUCAAAGAGAAUAUGUAAUGACUUCUGCCAAGUAUCCGGGAACUCUACCAACCUACGAUCUCUUUAAAAUAAUUUCUUUUCUUGGAAUUUCCCAGACUACAGAUGUCAAGUAAAUUCAAACAAGGUUCUGUCGUGAUCUCCCCAGUCCACCCAAAUCCUUCAACAAUGAAACCCUUUAGGUGAGCACACAGAGUUGGAUCAUAUUCAAAUCCCUGUGGACCUUGUAUUUCCCUUUCCUCGGGCUCUUGCUCAGGAUAUUCCCUCUGCCCACAUCUGUGUCUUCUUCCUGUACCCUUUACUCCUUUUAGUAGUUAAAUUUGCGGUGGGGUGAAAUUCUACCCCGUUACUCCAGGCCUUUUCAUAUGCCCAGUCUCUCCCCUCAUCUCCCCCCACCAAUCACCCUAGUGAGAAGCGGUCUGGCUUUCUUUUGAACCACUAUAAUUCUUUUUACCCAUGUUAUUAAAGUGAACCAAAUAAUCCCUAGUGUUUGAAUUAAAUGUUUGGGUGUUUCUCCUUCUCUAUUCGAUUCCUGAAAAUCAGGACCAUCUUUUGAUUCUUCACAGCUCUAACACAAUGCUUUAUGCUUGUGCAAACAAACAGUAAAUAGCUGCCAAAUGAGUCAAUGAACAUAUGCAGGAGUGAAAAUUCUAAAGCAAAAUUAGUAUGAUGGGUGAUAUCUCCUCUCCUUCCCAAAGAUGCACAAGGGCCAACCAGACGGACAUUCUGAUGUAAAUAACCUAAACCCGGUCAGUCACAGCAACAAAUGCUCAGAAAUAUCCAUUUCAUAUCCUUAAGCUGCUUCAAUUCCCAACUAAAAUGUUAAAACUGUACUCCCCAUGGCAAUUACCAGACAACUUUUAAAUACCCAUGUUUGAAAGAGAAACAUCUAUGAGUUUUUCAUGGUAGAUGUUAUUUUUUUCCCGUUAAGCAAACAAGCUUCUGAGUAAGAUACCUGAAACAUUUUAAAAGUAUAGCAUCAGUUAAUGUACAAUGAAUGUCACAUGGAGUAAGAACAAAUGUUCCUGUAUUCUUACAUCUACAUAACUUAUUGAGCCAAUAAAAUGACAGAACUCUAUGUCCCUUUUUGUCCCCCCAAACUCAAAACACAAAUAUACAGAACAUAAGUUGGCACUCCAGCUGACUCAAUGAAAACUCAACGCUGACCUGUAAUUUUUUGUUUCGUUUUUUUAAGGGAGUGCCACCAUGUGGUGAAUGCUUUUACUACACUUUAACAUAGGUAAUUAAUACGAAGGGUGGGUUAUACUUGAAAGCAGGGGAAGGAACAAAUUAUCUAGGCCCAAUAUGACACAAAAUAGAGCCCACAUUGUGUAGAAUAACUUAUAACAGAUUACUUUGGCAAUGAGCAAAUUCUAGAGUUAAAAUAUUAGAGUUAAGAUGUUAUGUUAUCUGUUUCUUUCAGGAGGAUUCAGAAUAUGAUCCUCAUUUCCUAAAUUUGUGAGACCCAGAGUCAAUCCAGCCAUUAUUUUCACAAGGUCUCACUCACAAGUUUGUCAGCAACCAUCAUUUCUCCCCCUGGGCCAACAGGAAAGUAUCUGUUGUGCCUGGCCAGACCCACUUUCCAUGCUGUGGUCAUGUGGCUGCUCUGGUUGUUCAGCACAACAGGGAGCAAGCUGGCAGGGGGUGCCGGGGGAGGUCAAGUGUGCUUGGUAUGUGUCUGUGGAAUGCCACGGGCCACAUUCUUCAGAGUGCACCAAUGCAUGCCACAACCCUGGCGCCCGCACUUCGGAAGCUCCUGGGCAGCAGUUUCUCCAGGACCCUGGGAAACUUGUGGGCGAUGACCUGCACCCACUUGGGCUCCAUUCUGCCAAAUACAAUCUGAUGAAUUCACCCAAUUCUUUGCUUUUUUAUCUUGCCUCUCCUUGGGGAAGCACUCAAAAGCAGACCAACACCCAAAUCUUGUGACAGUUUCCUUAUCUAAUUCUGCUGAUGAACGGUUUUUACACGAGGCCAACACACAUGAGUGAUUCCUUGGGUCAGUGCCAGGGUUGGGAAAACCUGCCAGACUAUGCCCCAAUAGAUUCAUGUACCUUUCAAAAAUUUCAACAUUGGUUAAAGCACUAAAACUGUGGCACAAAGAAGAAAGCAAAAAGGGCUCUUGGGGGACCUAAGAGGCAUAUUAGAAACACAGGGGCUAUCAGGUCGAAUUAUGGCUCUAGGUCACCAAAUUACUUGGAUUUCUUCCCUUACAAAGAAAGAAAUACUGAUCUGCUAUUGUCAGCACACAGGUAAAUGGAUCUACCAGAAACACCUGCCAGAGGGGCAGUUCAUAAUUAUGUAUCAAAAGCCUUCGGUGUACCUAUUCUUUUGAUGCAGAAAUCCUACUUCUAGAAAUCUAUCCUAAGUAAAUGAUAAGAAGAUACAAAAAUGGAUCAUGAAGAAAAUUCUAGGGAGAAAAACUUCCAACAACUUAAGUGCUCAUCAAUAGAGGAUUAGGAGAAUUAAGUGGUGGCAUAUCCAGAUCUAUCAUACAUGAUUUCCAUCCUGCUUCAUUUUUACACAGUAUUCCCUCCUCCUACAAGAACUGCAGAGAAGUGAGUGAGUAGCACCCAGGUUUCCCCUGGGUUGCUGGCUGUAGUACUGUCAUAACCACACAAAGCCUCUCCUCGCACAUCUAAAAACCACCCUUUAUGCUGAUAAAGGCUAUGGACCUCCUCACCAAAAUAAAACAAAAGAACAUGUGAACACAUGAAUGUUUGUAUAUAUUUUCAGAAAGGCCUAGAAUUCCAGAGAGCAUAUCAUUCAAGUUUAAAAAUAAAAAAUUACCUUGUCAAGGUAACAAAUUCUGAAUAUGGGCAUGGGUAAUUCUGGCCCAAAAGAAAAGAGGUGGGAGACCUUUAGUCUUUGGAAUGGUUGGCUAAUCAGGCAGACAGGUAUGAAGCUCACCACUAACUCUACUCGUAUCCUCUAAAAUGAUCAAAUCACUCUAAACCCAAGGUGUCAGAAACACAAAACAGAAUAUAUUUGACCUCACAUACAAUAAGCACAAGGAAAUAGUGUGCCACAAGGAAUGGGCAAUCUGUACAGAUUUCCAAAGUUACUGGAAAAAAGAAAAGCAUAUAAUUGCCCUAAUGGAAGAGGGAAACUUUAACAUGAGAAAUGACAAGCAACAGAAUUUGGUCUGAACCAGAAGACCCAGAUAUAUGUUCCCUAUCGGAAGUAAUGCAACAAAACAACUUGAAAAGCUCUAGGGAGAUACAUGGUACACAAAAGUCUCACUUCACAGGAUAAAUGCACUCCAAAGAGCUCAGCCCUUACUUUCUCCACUGGUUUCUGGGUAAGCUCAGCUAUACUACUAGAGAAGAAAAUCACCCUACAGGGCACAAUGAUGACCACAUCCUGGCCUCUGGAGCUGGCCCUGACCUGGCCUCUGCCCCACUCCCCACCAAAACUGUCUCCACUCAUCGGUCUGCCCACUCAGGACUUUUAUAUAACUGUCCCUUUUCCUAGAAUGUUCUUACCUCUCCAAAGCCUGCUCAUCAGUCCAGUCCUGGCUUAAUGUCUCCUCCUCAGAGAAGCCAUUCCUGCCCUCCUCCUGCUCCCAUUACGUUAGACUCAUUCUCCCCUCAUGCUGGCAGAAGAGGUAGUAGUGGUGGUAAUGACAACACAUAAUCACAACUAAGAUAUCUGAGUGCUUAUUUCUGGGGGCUUUUCCUCAUUCACCUUAUAUGUAUUAUUUCAUUUACAACUCACUGUAAAAACCAAGGACAGGGGUGCCAUUAUGAUGCUCAUUUUACAGCAGCCUGGGGGAGGUCCAUGUGCAAGAAGUCAAGCCUUCCUGCCAACAGCGCUGCCUUGCCAGCCCUGUGAGGGUGCCACCUUGGAAGCAGCUCCUCCAGCCCCAGUCAAGCCAUCAGACGAUGCAGCCCCCAGCCAACAUCUAGACUGCCAUCUCAGUAGAGACCACAAACCAGAACCAUCCAGCUAAUCCACUUCUCAAUUCCUUGCCUGCAGACACUGUGAGGUAAUACAUAUUUGCUGUUUUAAGCCACUACAUUUUGAGGUGAUUUGUCACGCAGAAAUAGAUGGCUAAUAGUGAUGGGAAAACUGAGACUCAGAAUGUAACCAGCUCACAGUUACACAACUUGUAAGUGUUGGAACCAAAAAUUUUUAAUUCUGCUUGUUUGACUCUAGAGCCUGAGCUCUUAACUAUGACACUGUGCAGCCUCUUCCAUGUAAGGAUUAAUGCCCCAAUAGACCUCAAAAAGGCAAGAAUCAAAACUGUCUUUUUUAAUACUGUGAACCCACCAAACACCAGUACAAUAUACCCAGCAUGUUACAGAUAUUUGUCAAAAGAAUGAAUAAAUGGAGUGAAUGAAAUGAAAAUAAUUACAAAAAGUUGAAGAGUGGAUUAUAGCUAACAUGUUCUACUCUAUACUUUGCUAAAUUAAAUUUUCUACAAUGUACAUGUGCUAUGGGGUUCACCUCACUGAAAAUCAAUUUAAACUGAGACCUGAAAGAAAGGAAAAUGAAUUACCCAAAUGUCCCAGGGCAGAGGAACUAGAAAGCAGUGCAAAGGCCCUGUGGUAGAAACAGACUGCCAUAUUCAAGAAAAAGAUGGACCAAUGUGGCUAUGAGGGGGUGCUGGGACACAGGCCAGAUCUCAGUUAGGCAUCUGGCUUGUAGUUGAAGUCAAAUGAGAAGCUACUGGAGGGCUUUAAGCAGAGAGCAAUAUGAUCUCAUUUGCAUUCCUGAAAGAUUAUUCAGGUUUCUGUAGGAAAAAUAAGUUGUAAAGCAGAGAGACUGAAAGCAAGAGUAUUAGUAAGGAGGCUAUUAUACAAGCCCAGACAAAGGAAUGAAUUCGAUGAAACGAUUCCUGUAAAGUGUUUAACAUACUGCCCAACACACUGCACACACCCAAGAAUUGCCAUUUUUUCUUUGUAAAUGCUCAGUUUGAAAAUCACUAUAAAAUACAUAUAUAUGCACACAACAUAAAAUUAAAAAUUACUAUGUUCUAUAUUCCAAGGCAUGGAAAAAUGCUCACAACAUACUGUUAAGGUUUUUUUUUAAAGCAAAUAAACAAAAACAGCAUAUCUGUAUUAACCCUUCUGUGUGAGAGGGUUUCACAAAAUAUUUCCACAAAAUUAACAGUGGUUAUCUGUAAGUAGUGGGAUUAUGGGUGAUUUUUGCUUUCUUCAUUAUCCCUUUCUAUACUUCUGAAUUUUCUUUUUUAAUAAUGGGCAUGUAUUCCUUUUAUAGUGAUACAUAUAAAGUCAUUUUCAUUCGUGGAAAAAAACUUUUCCCUAUACUAAAAAAGAAGAAAUUUGAAGAAAUGGCUAUAUCCAGUAAAUGAAGGUUUAAAUUAUUUCAGAGGAGAACCAAUGUUAACUGGGAGAGUCUUCUGGUCAAAUCGUGUCAGGGAAAUGGCGACAUUACAAGGCAGCGUGGAGAAAUGCUGCUCUCAGGACCUGAAAAUGGUGAAUGGCUUUGGUUAAUGUCUAACAAUGACUUUAAAAAUAUAAAAUAAAAGGGGGAGUUGAUGAAAACAGGAUAUGUCAGCAUUUCUUGAUUUUGUCCUCCUGGUCCUAAUAAUUCUUCAUAACAAACUUUCCUCCACAAAGAAGAGAAAGAAGGCUGGGAGAGACUUUGGGUAGGGAAAGACUGAUGGUUUCAAGAAAAGACAGCUGCCACUUUACCACCUAGACGUUGACUGUCAGAUUUUAAUGAAGCCAAAGACUGUGAAUAGACACAAAAAAGGGGAAAAAGUAAACUUGGCCCCCAAAAAUGUAUAAGAGAAAUUAUCUUCCUUAAAAAGUCAAGAAGCAGUUUAAUAAGGAUUUAUUAUCCUAAGGUUUAAGCAGAAAAGUCAUCUUUGAACAUUUUUAAGUCUUUUUACAAGAAUCAGUUAUGCAGCCACUUGGAAAAGAUCAGAAUAUUUCCUGCUUUCAAGAACCCCUGACAUCUGUGAGACUUGGAAGGGUCUAUGUUAAGAGGACAGAAAGAAAUCCAGGAACAGCAGAUCUCUUGUUACCACACGGUGGCUUCUUCACAAACCCAAGAGGCGCAGGAAUCCUGACUGAUAACAAUGUCCCAGUUCUUAAGUGUGUAGGUCCCCAGCACUAAAGCUGAAGUUAAGCAGGAACAAGAGAACAAACACGGAUACUGUUUGUCCUUAGUACAGCCAAAUGGCAUCCAAUAGCACCAGGAUUGACAGGCAAAGCCAUAGCAAAGUUAACCCCAAUCAAUCCCUAACCCAAGCAUAACGUGACUGCAUUUCAACCCGGUUAUCACACAACUACAGCAUGGCCUGGGGAGAGUCUUCUGAGUCUGUGACCGGAGUCUUGGCUCCUGUCCUGGCUCCACCACUGAGACAGACUCUAAGCCAGCUUCAGCAUAUGAGAGUGUAGCUAGUAAUACUAGCCCUGUGCAGCUAUUGGGGGGAUUACGCAAGAGGGUGUAUGCAAACCCCUAGACGAAUCCCAGACACACAAGGUAUGCUCACCAGUUAUGACACUACGCAGCUGAUAUCCUAGGGAAACACCCCUUGCUCCACAGAAGCCUGCAAGUUGUGCAGUUGCCCACAGGCCUCCACAGCCCUGAAAAACCUUGGGAAAGCAUCUUAUCAGGCCUCCCUCUACUUCAAUGAAUGAGAUAAUGCCCUCUCUUAGCCUCCCAAACUCAAUGAGAUGGGUAUGAUUUUGGCUGAAAUAACUAGCUCGACCUGACAGCUAGUAAAGUAAAAUCCAAACUCUUUGGAUUUUACUUCUCAGGUCUGUCUGACUACAGGGCCCAAACCCUUAGCCACUCUGCAAAUCAAAAUGGAGAGAAUAUGCUGCGCAUCCCGCACAGCACCAGGCUCAGAGUAAGCAUGCAUACGAGGUGGCAAAUCACCUAAGUAAUAUUAACAGCAUCCCUCAAGGAAGGAAUUACUAGACCCACUGUACAGCUAAGAGACCUGAUGUAAAACUCCUGGAGGAAGAGACAGUGCUUACAGGGGGUGCCCUGGAGGGGCCAAAGUUUCUUAAUUUUAUCAGAAUCUUCAUCAAAGUCCUCCAGCUUUUCCUAUGAAAUUUAGAUUCUCAACCGGAAAGUGGAGCCUGUACGCUUCCCACCACCCGGCAUUCUCCGCCAGGAGUCAGAGCCCUUGCCACGUGGGCUGAUCUCAGAGCAUGUCUUAGAACAACCUGCUCUCACUGAGUUCUGAGAAUGUGCUCACACCAGCCUCAGUUUCUUUGUUUAUAAAACAAGCUCCUAAAAGGGCCUCAAGAGGUCAAAUAAAAUGGCCUGGGUCCCCCUUUCCAUCCAACCUUCAGUACUCCCCCACUUCCCUGGGAACAGCUCUGGAGUGAGAACAGCAGGCAGCCCCAAGGGGUGCCCAGCUCUGUCCAGGCUGGGAGCCCAGAGGUUUCCAAACACCUGAAUUCAAGGCAAGAAAGAGUUUUGUUUUCAUUUUCUUUUAAAACGCCCCCAGAGACACACACACCUCAAAACUUCCUUACAGUUAAGUCAAAGUGGAUAAAGAUCAGUUAUCACGUAUUAGAAAGCAGCCAGCCAGUGCUGAUGCUGCAAAGGUCAGCAGAGGCUAGCUCCGAGGGCACAAAAGUUUCUUUUAGACAUCUGAAGAUAAUUCGGCAUGCAGCAACAGAAACAGCCCCUUCCCCUCAACUCCCGUAAACCCUAACUUCUCUUUGGUAAAAUGCUACCAGGUUGCCUUAGACACUGUCAAGAUAAUCCCAAAGAUGAAGAGAAAAUGUUAGAGAAAAAUGUAUUUCAAUGACAUGAAAGAGAGAAACUUCCAUUUAUAGCAAUGCUGAAAAAUUCACCAACUUUGCUGUGUUUGAAGACAUAAAAUGCUUCAAAAGUUGUGAAGAUAUAGUGACCGCCCCCUAAAUUAGCUAAUUUGAAAUCUAAAGCAUGCUGCAAUGGCAUGUGGGAGGUGAACUGCUUUCAUUAGACCAAAUAAUUAAUUAAUACAUCCAUCCAAAGCAGAAGGCCGGAGAAGCAGCUCUCCCCAGGAGGAGAACUGAAUGGGGAAGCCGCAGUGCUAACCCGGUUUGUCAGAAGUCAGGGAGAAGUGAAAACACACAAAACCUUCCAAACCCAGCUGUUUUCCUAAAUCCGUAUAAAUCUGGAAGCAGGCUACAGCAGGGCACCGACUUCGAUGUGUUGGUCUUUGCAUUUAUAAAGCCAUUCUUCUUUAUAAGGAAAGUGCUUGCCCUUUCUCUCAGAGACAUGAUUCCUUUGAAAUACUAAAUGGCUUACAUAAUGGGCCAACUACAAUUCUUUCAAGUCACAUUUUAAUAAACGCUAAGAGUAAUCAAUUCUUUUCUGUUUUGACAAAAACAUAUCCUGAUACGGAAGAGUGUUUUUUCUGUACAAUGAAGCUCCUGGAAGGCACAGGUCUUGGAGAGUGUCCUUGUCCCCCUCAGUCCCCACACUCCCAGCCGGAGUAGCCGUCUAGAGGGCAGAAGAGAGACUGGCCAUCCACAGGCCAGGGAGAGUAGCAGUCCAGCAGAGGCCCGCACGGUGCUGGCGCAGACCUGUCAGUCCACAAUCCCGCUGGCCCUGGGAAAGGAGCUGCAGAGCGGCAAUGGCCUGAGA